AAAAAAAAAAGAACAUAUAAUAAAAAUAAAAAAAAUAAAAAGAGAGAGAAAGAGAAAGAGACAGACACGCGUUGGGACCGUUUUUACAAGAGCAAUAAAUAAUUAAUAUAUUUUCUGAACGACUGUGGACUUCGAUGAAGAAAGGAUUGGCACGAAUGGAAGGAAAAUCGUCGAUUAAUAUCUAAACGAGAACGACCGUAAUGGUGCCGAGCAAGUCCGCGGUCCCGUGGACCCUGAAAAACGGCCAAACUUUGGCAAAUAUUUUUUCUCGGUGCGUCGUACUCGCCCUAUCUCCUGGACGUUCUUUAAUUAAUUACCGCGGUAAGCGUAGAGGUAAAGAGGGUGUGGGUUGGCGGUAGGAAUGGGAGCAAAAAAGGGGGAGGGGGGCUUGUGUUCGGGGGUGAAAAAGCUCUACGAGGGAGGAAUACGAUAGAAGAAGUGGAAGAUUAACUGGGAGGACGAAUAUAAAGACAAAAAAAAAAAA